UACGAAGGGGGCAAGCGUUGUCCGGAAUCACUGGGCGUAAAGGGCGCGUAGGUGGUGGCUUAAGCGUGCGGUGAAAGCUCGGGGCUCAACUCCGAGUCGGCCGUGCGAACUGGGCUCACUGGAGCAUAGUAGAGGCAGGUGGAAUUCCGGGUGUAGCGGUGGAAUGCGUAGAGAUCCGGAAGAACACCGGUGGCGAAGGCGGCCUGCUGGGCUAUGGCUGACACUGAGGCGCGACAGCGUGGGGAGCAACAGG
rnacentral:rRNA from 1 species